CGUCGGUCCCCCCGCAACGAUAGGCUGUGAACCCCGCCAGGCCCGGAAGGGAGCAACGGUAACAGCUGAUUCGUGUGCCGGGGUGCGGCUGGCGCGA
rfam:Methylothermaceae bacteria B42 Contig8, whole genome shotgun sequence.